GAUGAACGCUGGCGGCGUGCCUAGUACAUGCAAGUCGAGCGAACAGACGAGGAGCUUGCUCCUCUGACGUUAGCGGCGGACGGGUGAGUAACACGUGGAUAACCUACCUAUAAGACUGGGAUAACUUCGGGAAACCGGAGCUAAUACCGGAUAAUAUAUUGAACCGCAUGGUUCAAUAGUGAAAGACGGUUUUGCUGUCACUUAUAGAUGGAUCCGCGCCGCAUUAGCUAGUUGGUAAGGUAACGGCUUACCAAGGCAACGAUGCGUAGCCGACCUGAGAGGGUGAUCGGCCACACUGGAACUGAGACACGGUCCAGACUCCUACGGGAGGCAGCGGUAGGGAAUCUUCCGCAAUGGGCGAAAGCCUGACGGAGCAACGCCGCGUGAGUGAUGAAGGUCUUCGGAUCGUAAAACUCUGUUAUUAGGGAAGAACAAAUGUGUAAGUAACUAUGCACGUCUUGACGGUACCUAAUCAGAAAGCCACGGCUAACUACGUG
rnacentral:rRNA from 1 species